rnacentral:precursor_RNA from 1 species
UAGGCCGUGUUGUUGUUUCCAGAUAGUCUCAAUCUGAACACAACCCUUGGCCUAGU